rnacentral:rRNA from 1 species
CAAUAGCGUAUAUUAAAAUUGUUGCGGUUAAAACGCUCGUAGUUGGAUAUCUGUGAGCGGGUUCCGGUCCUUCCCAGUGAAGAUUACACGGAACUCUGCUCGCAUUUGUUCAGGGAGGGUGGAUGCACUUCACUGUGUGACCACAUGAUCUGAAUUUUUUACUUUGAGGAAAUAGAGAGUGUUCCAAGCAGGCAAUUGCCGUGAAUAUGAUAGCAUGGAAUAAUAGCACAGGACUCUUGGUUCAAUGCUGUUGGUUUGUUGAACUAGAGUAAUCACAAUAAGGAUAUUGGGGGUAGUUCGUAUUUAACUGUCAGAGGUGAAAUUACUUGGAUUUUUAAAGUACGAACAAUU